UACGAAGGGGGCUAGCGUUGCUCGGAAUCACUGGGCGUAAAGGGUGCGUAGGCGGGUCUUUAAGUCAGGGGUGAAAUCCUGGAGCUCAACUCCAGAACUGCCUUUGAUACUGAGGAUCUUGAGUUCGGGAGAGGUGAGUGGAACUGCGAGUGUAGAGGUGAAAUUCGUAGAUAUUGGGAAGAACACCGGUGGCGAAGGCGGCUCACUGGCUCGUUUCUGACGCUCAGGCGUGACAGCGUGGGGAUCAAACAGG
rnacentral:rRNA from 1 species